rnacentral:lncRNA from 1 species
CUUUUCCAGCGCGGCGGAGGGCGCCCCCUAGAACGCAGAGGGGGGGCAGAGGGAAGUGAGAUGGGGACUACGGGGUCUCCAGUGGUUCAAACCCUGUCGUUCCUCCGCGUUACAGAGCUACAGCGGUCUCCGGGUGGCGAAGUGCGGAGACGGGGUUUUGGAGACGGUGGAUGGAGGAGGGGGAGGGAAAGCUGCCAACUUUGGAUACCAACCCCGUACACCCACCGAAGGGGAUGUCCCACUUUUUCCAGCGCUGGGAGCAAAAAGAUAACAGUGAGCGAGGUUGAAAAGUAAGACAUUGAUUUAAAUAGAAGAAAAACUGUUGUUUCAACCAACGAAGAGAUUCUUUGUUUUCUUAUCUGUAAAAUGUGAAAAAUCGUACCUAACCUACAGGGUGAUUGUGAGGAGUAAUUGAAAUAAAAUUCGAGGAAUUGUGUAACGUGAAGUACCAUGAACAAUAAAACAGGAGGCAGAAUGAAAACACCUGACAGUGAAAAGAGCAAUUUGAAGAAAAACAAAAUUUAUCUUCAAUGUGAAAAGCAAUUUAUAAAAAUCCGAAUACUUGCCAGGAGCAACUUGACAAAAAAGACAAAGGUGGUAGAAGAAAUGUAACCAGCCCACAAUUCCAAUGUUGAUAACAGAUGAGCUCCCUUUCAAGGUGACUGACAUUUACACAAGUACACAGAGCAAGAAGAAGGUCUGAGUGAACUGCCAAGCAUUUUAACUUCUCCUGAGACCAAGUACAUCAACAGUUCUCUUGGAAAAGAACAACUGAUUUGGGAGUCUAGCAGACUGCCAGCUGCAAGACAUUCAUCCAGCAUCAGGAACACAAUGGGCCUUCAUUUGCCUGCCUUUCUGAGGGCACCAAUCAAAAGUAACAGCUGCCACCUUUUUCUAUGAGACUUGAUUAUAAUUUUCUAUGGCCAAGGGUUUGCUGUGACACUUCCACAUCAUUCUUCAGUAUGUAGUCCAGAGAUUAGCUACAGAUUCAAGAAACACAGACUGUAAACUAUUAUAUACAGACAUAUCUCAAAAUAAGCAUACCCAUUAGUGCCAGCUGCCCUGAAAGACUGAAUGACCCCAGCUAUUUUCCAAAUGUUUUUUCAGAAAGCCAUGAACACACCUUUCUGGGAUCCUAUCUAUUUCAAAGACAGGCAAAGCUCUGUGGUUCAGUUCCACCACCCAGUACCAAGCCCACAGUAUGCAGACCAUACGCCUUACACAUGGCCUUUUCUCUUUAUGUAAUUGCUGUACCAUAUUCAGCAGAUCUAGACUGACUCAAAGCAUGUUCCCUCAAGAAGCUCCACAGAAAAAAAGGUUUCUGUGAUCAAAAAUCAUUUGGGAAAUGCUGCAAACCCUAUCUGCCUCUUAGAGCUUAACCAUGCAUGUCGGGGCAUAAUAUAAACCUUUUCCAGUCUGGGCCACAGAGUGAGACCCCACCUCUAAAAUAAUAAAUCAAUAAACUCUUGAGAAGUACACAGAAAAGAAACUUCUGUAACUUUUUAGGUCUUAAUUACAAGCAAUUGUAGCUUAAUCUAAACUUGCUCUUCACUUUAUUUCUAUGCUCUUGAAAACUAGUGACAUAAGCCUUAUGAAUUUUUUGUUUGUUUGUUUCUUCUUUUUUUAAGAGAGAGACAGGGUCUCAUUCUGUUGCUCAGGUUGGAGUGCAGAGGCACAAUCAUAGCUCACCGUAACCUUGAAUUCCUAGUCUCAAGUAAUCCUCCCAUCUCAGCCUCCCUAAUAACUAGGACUACAGGCACAUACCACCACAUCUGGCUAGUGUGUGUGUGUGUGUGUGUGUGUGUGUGUGUGUAAAGACAGGGGUCUCAUUAUGUUCCCCAGGCUGGUCUUGAACUCCUGGGCUUAAGCGAUCCUCCCACCGCAGCCUCCCAAAACUUUGGGAUUACAGGCAUGAGCCACUACACCUGGCUGGAUUAUUCUUUCUUUAAAAAAAUUUUUUUGGCCGGGCGCCGUGACUGUAAUCCCGGCACUUUGAGGGGCCGAGGCGGGCGAAUCACGAGGUCAGGAGAUAGAGACCAUCCUGGCUAACACGGUGAAACCCCGUCUCUACUAAAAAAAAAUACAAAAAAUUAGCCGGGCGAGGUGGCGGGCGCCUGUAGUCCCAGCUACUCGGGAGGCUGAGGCAGGAGAAUGGCGUGAACCCGGGGGGCGGAGCCUGCAGUGAGCCGAGAUCGCGCCCUGGGCGACAGCGAGACUCCGUCUCAAAAAAAAAUAAAUAAAUAAAAACAAAAAUUUUAAGCAUAAAUACAAAGGUUAGGUAGAUUUAAAGAUGGCCGGUAGCAUGAAGUGAGCUGUCUAAAAAGUUGCUUUUACAUAAGAACUUUAUGUUACUUGAUGAGCAAGUAUUAAUUGGGCUCUCUGUCUCUUCUUCUCUCUCCCUCUUUCUCUCUCUCUCUCUCUCUGGAUCCACUUUCCCUCCUGCAUCAGGGAGUCUACUCCUAUGUAAAUCUUCUGCAGGUUGUGCAGUGGACUUCACCUAGUCUCCCAUCUCCAGCUAAUUUGGCCAAGAAUAGUCACCUGGCGCAAGGUGGGGAGGGAGCUCUCAAUUGGCCAGCAACUUCUGACGUGUGACCUGACUGAACAAUGAGAGGCUCGAGUGAAAUUACCAGCUGGUAGUAGGACAGAGGAUAUAGAUACAUGGAAUGGAGCUGAGCCAAAUUAAUGACAAAGGACUAGACAAGAAUGACUGUUGAUGAUCACCUAUGCUGAGAUCACAAAGCUGCCCCGAGUCCAGAAGCAGGUUCACUGAGGGAGGCUCAACCAUGUUACCAAUCUUGUUUGAGAUUAAUGUUCCUUGUUGUAAACCUCAAGUCUGUUUCUUGCAAUCAAACCAUUCUAAAUUGAAACAACUACUUAGAAAGUGUUUCUAUGGGUUCAGUGGGACAUUUCAACCAAAUGAAAUAUGAUAAUGAUCUUAAAUGAACUAACAAUAGUGUUGCAGAAAUAAAAUACAAAUACCAGAAAGAUAGCCAGGCACAGUGGCUCAUGUCUGUAAUCCCAGCACCUUGAGGGGCCCAGGCAGGAGGAUCCCUUGAGGCCAGGAGUUUGAGACUAGCCAUGGCAACAUAGCAAGGCCCUGUCUCUAUUAAAAAAAUAAUAAUAAUAAUUUAAAAAUUCGCCAGGCACAGUGGUGUGCACCUGUGGUCCCAACUACUCCGGAGGCUGAGGAGGGAGGAUCACUUGAGCCCAAGAGUUCAAGGCUGCUAUGAGCCAUGAUCACACCACUGCACUACAGCCUGGGCAACAGAGUGAGACCUUGUCUCUAAAAAAAUACAAACAAAAUACAGAUUUAACCAACUCAUGCCCAGCUUAAGUACAGAGUUUAAGAGUGUGCAUUUAGAAACUUCAUAAGUGUUUGGAAUCCUUGAGUGUUUUAUUUUGCUUUAAUUUUGGUCUUCAGAUUCAAAGGGUUAUUGUUUGUUUGUUUGUUUGUUUUGAGACGGAAUCUCGCUCUGUCACCCAGGCUGGAGUGCAGUGGCGCGAUCUCGGCUCACUGCAAGCUCCGCCUCCCGGGUUGACGCCAUUCUCCUGCCUCAGCCUCCGGAGUAGCUGGGACUACAGGAGCCCGCCACCACGC